rnacentral:rRNA from 1 species
CACGUAGGGUGCGAGCGUUGUCCGGAAUUAUUGGGCGUAAAGAGCUCGUAGGCGGUGUGUCGCGUCGGCCGUGAAAACUUGGGGCUUAACUCUGAGCGUGCGGUCGAUACGGGCAUCACUUGAGUUCGGCAGGGGAGACUGGAAUUCCUGGUGUAGCGGUGAAAUGCGCAGAUAUCAGGAGGAACACCGGUGGCGAAGGCGGGUCUCUGGGCCGAUACUGACGCUGAGGAGCGAGAGCGUGGGGAGCGAACAGG